rnacentral:lncRNA from 1 species
UGAGUGUGGGAAAACUUAGCAGUCACUAAGCACAAUGUCCCCUACACCGUCUGCUUUGUUUGCAAACGAUUCCUGUGGAAGAAUUGCACCACCUCACCAUUUGCUAAGCAGCCCAGCACAGUGGUAUGAAAGGAGACUGUUACAGGUCUGAGCAAGCUGAGCUGAUGGAGUAUCUCUAUGAACUGGUGAGGGUGUGC